CCUACGGGUGGCUGCAGUGGGGAAUAUUGGACAAUGGGGGCAACCCUGAUCCAGCCAUGCCGCGUGUGUGAAGAAGGCCCUCGGGUUGUAAAGCACUUUCAGUGAGGAAGAACGCCUGGUGGUUAAUACCCAUCGGGAAAGACAUCACUCACAGAAGAAGCACCGGCUAACUCCGUGCCAGCAGCCGCGGUAAUACGGAGGGUGCGAGCGUUAAUCGGAAUUACUGGGCGUAAAGCGCGCGUAGGUGGCUUGAUAAGCCGGUUGUGAAAGCCCCGGGCUCAACCUGGGAACGGCAUCCGGAACUGUCAAGCUAGAGUGCAGGAGAGGAAGGUAGAAUUCCCGGUGUAGCGGUGAAAUGCGUAGAGAUCGGGAGGAAUACCAGUGGCGAAGGCGGCCUUCUGGACUGACACUGACACUGAGGUGCGAAAGCGUGGGUAGCAAACAGGAUUAGAUACCCCUGUAGUC
rnacentral:rRNA from 1 species